rnacentral:lncRNA from 1 species
CCAUUUUAGUUGCGGGCAGCGCCUUGAGCGGGCCUGUGGAGCGGAGGGUUUGGGGGGCGGGCGGUGAGGCUGAGCUGUGGGGCUGGGGGUCCAGCGGAGGGAGUGGUGCCCACAGAGGCCCCUCCGAGCCCUUCCCCCCGCCGUGGUGGCUCUCCAGGGCCGCACAGCUGGGCUUCCCAUCCCCUCCCAGGGCUCCCCUGCGCCCACGGACACCUGCAGGCCCCGCCUCUCCUCCACAGGCGAGAACCCGACGGUCUGCAGAUUCCCAGGAUCCACGUCCAGAGAACUCCCAGCGAUAAAUGUGUGCCAGGCUGCCUUCCCCAGAAUGACUGCUUCCUGCACAGGCUGGUUACAGGCAAGCAGAAGAUCUGGGAUGCAGAUGAAAGGAGAAAGUCAUCAACCCCACAGUGGUCCAGACAUGUGAAGUGACAUUGAAACCGUGUAAAGGCUCCGUGACAGAAAGGAACGGCUGAGGGCACAGAGGCUGCUGGUAAGCAAGGAGAAGCGUGAUAGGGGAGGAUGCUUUUAUAGGAUGUUCCUCCUGCAGAGCAAUAAGGAGAACCUCACCUUCACCCUACAGUCUGCCCUUCCUGCACAUAUUGGGUUUUGUCACCUGGGCUUCUGACAAGGAGGUGCAUUUUGGCUGCUGUUGGUACAGUGCUGUCAGUCUGUGCCCCCUGCUGCUACCCACCAGCUUCCCCGAAUCCAUCGUCUCUUUGAGCCGCUUGCCCAGCUCGGAGCCCGAAGCCACCAUGGCCCGCAGCAUGUCCCCCGUGGCCAGGUGGCAGACGCAGUACGUCUCAGCCAGCUUCGGAGCCUGCAGGAAAGGACAGACAGAAGGUGAGAGCGCAGCGCGGUGACUCCAGCAGAUCUGGGCAAGGACAGGACGCGGCCACUCCAGUUUUGCCUCCCACUGGGACAGGCACCCCCCAGAUCCAACAUCACACCGACCAGACCUCGUCCCCACUCGCAGCAGCGGGAUGCAGCGGGAUGCAGUGGGAACACGUGGCUCCAGGAAACCCUGCAGGGCCGCGACAAAGGCCCGCACGCCCGGUGCCCCCGCGGGCUGCCACGCACAGGCCCAGGGAGCCGGGCCCGAGGAGGCCGCACCGCGCCCUGGCUCAGAUCGCCGUCCCCUCACCUGGGUGCCCUUUCCGGCGCCGGGUGGCCCCAGCAGCACCGCGCGGAUCCCGCGGCGGAGCCCCGUGCCCGGCGCCUGUCCGCGGCCACCCCCCGCCUGCGCGUUCGGAGCCAUGGCCGCCACCGACUGUGCCUGGCGGGGUCACGCACGGAG